rnacentral:rRNA from 1 species
GAUGAACGCUGGCGGCGUGCCUAAUACAUGCAAGUCGAGCGAAGCGGGGACGGGGGUGAAACACGUGGAUAAACUCCUAUAAGACUGGGAUAACUUAGGGAAACCGGAGCUCAACCGGCAAAUUAUAGAUGGAUCCGCACUGCAUUAGCUAGUUGGAAAGGUAACGGUGUACAAAGGCAACGAUGCAUACCCGACAUGGACGGGGGAUCUGCAACACGGGAACUGCGACACGGUCCAGACUCCUACGGGAGGCAGCAGGAGGGAAUCUUCCGCAAUGGGCGCAAGCCUGACGGAGCAACGCCGCGUGAGUUAUGAAGGUCUUCGGAUCGUAAAACUCUGUUAUUAGGGAAGCGGUACCUAAUCAGAAAGCCACGGCUAACUACGUGCCAGCCGCCGCGGAAAUAC